GAGGAUAUAAGCUACUCUAGAAAACCUUACUUCAACUGUAACUGUGACAGAAGACCACAGGUAAAACGGAACCUCUGCUGAACUGACUAAAAACUGCACAAUCUGGUAUAAUCAAGAAAUACUUGUAUCCUAAAUUAUGGUUUUUGCUUUGGAAUGUACCUUGUCUUAAUAGACUUAUCAGGCUUCUGCCUAAACUUAAGUUUAGAAUUUCCAUGGGAGGAUACAUUAGAAACUCCAGUAUUUCUCUGCUGGUUAUCAGCUUCGACAAGAACGCCAUGCUCCUGAUCAUCUGAUGAUGGGGCUGCUUCUGAACUGCUGUUUUGCGCAUCUGGAUGUCCAGAAACUUCGGUGUCAUUGGAAAGGACUAAUGUAACAUGAUCCCCG
rnacentral:misc_RNA from 1 species